UACAGAGACUGCAAGCAUUAUUCGGAUUCACUGGGCGUAAAGGGUGCGCAGGCGGCCAAGUGUGUCAGGUGUGAAAUCCCGAGCUUAACCUCGGAACUGCGCCUGAAACUACUUGGCUAGAGUACUGGAGAGGGUAACGGAAUUCACGGUGUAGCAGUGAAAUGCGUAGAUAUCGUGAGGAACACCAGAGGCGAAGGCGGUUACCUGGACAGUUACUGACGCUCAGGCACGAAAGCGUGGGGAGCAAAAGGG
rnacentral:rRNA from 1 species